AGAACGCUUGGUUGCUUCCAAGUUCUGGAUCACGUACAAAGCUGCUAUCAGCACCCGUGGGAUGUGAGCUCUCCCCUCUACACCAGCUGCCAUGACGACAGUGGACGCGUAUCCCCCUGGAACUAUAAGGAUACUUUGGUGGUGAUAUUCUAACACAGCCAUAGAAAAGUAAGACACCAGGGAACCAACUAUCCGAGCAGAACUUUCCCGACCCGAAGGAGCUGAGGGGAAAUGAAUCACUGAUGGACCGUCACCUGUAAUUUGGUCAGUCAUGAUUAUGCGUUGAUGUCUCUAUAAAUACCCACAGAGGGGUUGAUAUAGAGAGCGUCUGGGUUGCUGAGAGCAUGGAAGGGAUUGUACCCCAAAGGACAUGGAGACUUUGUGCCACUUCCUCAUAUCUGACCAUUGGUACCUCUUCUCUCUGGGUGUUGUAUCCCUUUCUAUUAAAUGGGUAAAUAU
rnacentral:lncRNA from 1 species